rnacentral:lncRNA from 1 species
CAAAGUCAACCUGCUGUGGACCUCCAUACCACCGGGGGCGAUAGAGAGCAUCCUGCCUCUUCUGGACAGAGUCUCCCAACUCAGUGUUGACAGGAAGUUACUGUUGAGUUUCCUCCAGUGCUGUGCUGCCUCUCAGAUCCAGCAAGGGGCACCAUCACCACCAACAGCAGUAUGGCUGCUCAGGUCUCUGCACUACAGGCUGGACUUCUCCUGCUCCUCCUCUGUGGACCUGUCAGCUCAGGACCAGGGGGAGGCUCUGUGUCUGACCACUGACCACUGCAGGGCCAUCAGCUCUGUUCUGAAGCAGAACCAACACAGCACCCAGCUGGUCCAGAACCAGGUCCAGCUCAUCCUAAGAGACUGUGAGGUGGAGGACAGAGCACUGAGAGAGCUGCUUCCCAUCCUGCAUAUUGUCAAGCUGAGCCCCAGCAAAGCUCUGCUACUUCAGCUGCUGGACCUUGUGUGUGAGGGGAUUGAAGAGGGGCUGCUGAGGCACACAGAGUCCCUGUGCAGAGCCCUGGAUGGGGAGCUGGACCUCAGUGAGACCAGGCUGGACCAGAAGGCCUGUGGAUCUCUGGCCCUGGUUCUGGAACACUCAGAGGGUCUGUCAGAACUGGACCUCAGCCACUGUCAACUCACAGACCACCACCUACAGCCCCUGAUCACACACCUGCAUAAAGUACAAGUCCUGGACCUGAGUCACAAUGACAUCACUGAUGCUCUGACUGACAGAAUACUCCAACUGGUCUCUACCAACACUUCAAUACACACCGUACGACUCUUCAACAACAGAAUCAUGAACAGCACCGCUUUCCUCACAGACAAGAGGUUUGAGAUUGGAAUAAACAUCAGGUCUUAGUCCAGGAAGAGGAAGAGAUGGCUGUUAGGUCUUAGUCCAGGAAGAGGAAGAGAUGGCUGUUAGGUCUUAGUCCAGGAAGAGGAAGAGAUGGCUGUUAGGUCUUAGUCCAGGAAGAGGAAGAGAUGGCUGUUAGGUCUUAGUCCAGGAAGAGGAAGAGAUGGCUGUUAGGUCUUAGUCCAGGAAGAGGAAGAGAUGGCUGUUAGGUCUUAGUCCAGGAAGAGGAAGACAUGGCUGUUAGGUCUUAGUCCAGGAAGAGGAAGACAUGGCUGUUAGGUCUUAGUCCAAAUCAAAAUAAAAUGUUAUUGGUCACCUACACAUGGUUAGCAGAUGUUAUUGCGAGUGUAGUGAAAUGCUUAUGCUUCUAGAUCUGCCAGGGCAGCAGUAUCUAACAGGUAAUAUCUAACAAUUUCACAACAAAACCUAAUACACACAGUCUAGUAAAGGAAUGAGAUGAGAAUAUAUAAAUAUAUAAUAUAUGGAUGAGCAGUGACAGAGCAGCUAAGAUGCAAUAGAUAGUAAAGAAUAGAUAGUGAAGGAUACAGUAUAUACAUAUGAGAUGAGUAAUGUGAGAUAUGUAAACAUUCUUAAUAAAAUCAACUAUAUGUACUGAACUGGUCUGAUGCUUUAAGCAAGCUGUUUGAUUAAAUAAUGAAGACACAGAAAUGACUCGAGGGAGCCAGAGAUCAACAUAGCCUUACAAGAAGAAAAAACCCUCUUCCUUAGCCUACUCCUCCCGCUGCUGCUGGCCUUUGUACAUUCUGACGUUAUGCUCCUAAAGUUUCUGAUAAUAGGCUACACCAGCAGUCGGCAACCUUUUCCAAUUUAUCUGACCAUUUCUACUGAUCUGGUGCCAGUUAGGAUUUUCAUAUUCACAUUUUACUGGAACAGUUUCAUUUAAUUUAUAGUCGUCUUUGUAUCUCAACAUCAUUCUGUGGUUAAUCUAUAUUCUAUCUAAAUGAAAAUGAUACAAAUAUAAAAUAAAUGUUUAUUGCCAUUGCUAACUAUGUAAUAAUAGUCCACAUAAAGCCAAAACAUUUAAACAUUGCAGCCAGCAGUUAGAAAAUAUCCAGAUAAAAAAUAAAUAUCCUAUAAAUCACAUUGGCUACGCCUGUUCUGUUUGAGACCUACAGGGAAGAAAUCUCACCGC